ACUAGUGAUUUCCCUAGGUGAACCUGCGGAAGGAUCAUUCGCACGUAUCCAAACCGUACCACGUGAAUAAAUCUCGGUGAGGCCCUGGGUGGUGAUUGUGACUUCGCGUCUUUCCGCCGUGCAGGGAAUCGCGGGCAGCAUAUGGGGUGGGAGCGGCCCGUCGUAUCCGUUCUCUUGCUCCAGCUGCCGUUUCCAAUUGUGCUUUCUGAUUUGUUUGUCGAUUUGUAUUAUUGAAUGGUUUUAUCAUUCUCCUUUGUUUUACAACUUUCAGCGACGGAUGUCUCGGCUCGAACAACGAUGAAGGGCGCAGCGAAGUGUGAUAAGCAUUGUGAAUUGCAGAAUUCCGUGAACCAAUAGGGAUUUGAACGUAUACUGCGCUUUCGGGAUAUCCCUGAAAGCAUGCCUGCUUCAGUGUCUAUUCUGAUCAUUCCCCGACUUAAGCUUAUUUUGUUUGAGCCUGGUGAGAGUGUCUGUGCGUCAAUGUGUUUUUUGACGCAUGUAACGAGUGGGGAGUUCUUCGUUGAACAACUUGAAGAGUGUGAUUCGUCACCGUCCUUCUUCGUUGCUUGGCGUAUUUGGCUCUCUUCAAUCUCGCCGCACUUGCGGUUAUUGCCAAGACAUGAAGUUAGGUCAGUAAACCCGCUGAAUUUAAGCAUAUCA
rnacentral:rRNA from 1 species